GACGUAGGGCGCGAGCGUUGUCCGGAUUUAUUGGGCGUAAAGAGCUCGUAGGCGGCUUGUCGCGUCGAAUGUGAAAUCUCAGGGCUCAACUCUGACAUUGCAUUCGAUACGGGCAGGCUAGAGUUCGGUAGGGGAGACUGGAAUUCCUGGUGUAGCGGUGAAAUGCGCAGAUACCAGGAGGAACACCGAUGGCGAAGGCAGGUCUCUGGGCCGAUACUGACGCUGAGGAGCGAAAGCGUGGGGAGCGAACAGG
rnacentral:rRNA from 1 species